rnacentral:lncRNA from 1 species
CGCAAACUGCACAGCACACAAAGACACGUGCGUGCGCCUUACAUGAUGACGUCGCACUGCUGUCCUCCUGUACGCCUCACCUCCCUGCUCACGUCCCACGAUCGGAGAUGGCAGGAACCCAAUACGGUAGUGCAGCAGCCCAUGCAUGUAUCUGAAAUUUCGCGUCCGUCACUUUGACCGGUCGCUUGCUUCAUCUAACUUUCUGCCCUCAUACCACACGCACGCAGGGCAGCAAGGGCUCCGGCUACGGCUACGUGCGCUACGCGGUGUACCAGGUGGCGAGCGGCCCCUACGCCGGCAAGACAAUCCUGGCGUACGAGGGCACAUUCAGCAGCGACCAGAAGUGGCAGGUGCGUCACAUGCACAGGGCGGUCACACGCUAUCCAUAGAUAGUUUCAGAAGGUGCCAAAGCGCUUGCCCCAACUCACGCGGCAGGCCGCCUACCCCAUGACCUCCACGCACAUCGAUGGAAUGCCUGACCACUCUUCUACUCCUCCCGAUCCACCCGCCUCGCGCUCACCAUGCGCACGCACAGGACUUCAAGCUAAUGCUGGGCAACUUCAAGGAAACGGCCAACACCGCCGAGUCCAUAUACCACCAGGUCCGCCCCGACUUCAUCACCGGCCACUCGCUGGGCGGCUGCAUUGCCGAGGUGGUGUGCUCCAGGUGCGGGCGUGUGCGGGCGCGUGUGUGUGUGUGUGUGCGCGUGUGUGUGUGUGUGUGUGUGCUAGGCUGCUUUCUUGGAUGAAUACACACGCUCCUCAGUCCCGCGUCUUCAUGAAAACGCUACCCUAUGCCAUGACCCACCCGCCCCACCCACCGACCACUGCCCGCCCCUGCCUAUCCUGCCCGCGCAGGACCGGGUGCCGCGGUGCCGCCUUCAACGCGCCUGGGCCCUGGUCGCCUGUGGCGGAACUCAACGUGGUUGACGGGGACAAGUACAACGACGUUGAGUUUGAGAUCCACCUGGCUGUCGCGGGUAAGUACUGCAUCUGGGUCAGUCUUUUCGCAAUUGCUGGGCUUGACUCCGUCCGACGCGGCCCAGCAUGCACUGAGUAGCGGGGUAGCUAGCGGUGGCACCUAUUGUCCACAGCGUUACAGCGCCUGACCGGCCGAUCUGCUUCCAUGCGCACGUUGCGCCUGGCUAAAUAUUUACGCGCAGACCCACUGGUCGGCUUGGCCAAUCAACGCGAGCGCGGGUGGCCGCGGCCACGGGCACAUCGGCAAUGAGGAGAGCGGCGCCUUGCACUGGCACGAGGGUGCUGGUGUCCUCGGCACGCACGCUGUUGACUGCAUGGUGGCAGCCAUUGGCCCCCUGUGAGCGCAGCGCGCGCCAGCCGGAGUGGAGGCCGCAGCAGGCCGGGCCGGGCGGGGCUGUGCACUGCAGAGAGGCCGAGUGUCCGUGUGAGGUUUUGAGGCGGGGCGUAGGGGACCCUGGGGACGGGGGGCGGGCACCUAGUCUUCCAUUCAUGAUGAGGAGCGUGACUCAUUUUGUCAUGAGUUCUGCUGCGGGACCGGCAGUGUCUGCGCUGGAUUCGGGAAAUCCCGCGUCGCAAUCUGUCUGAAGGCACGUGCGAUCUAUUCAUUACCAGUAUCAGUGUGUGCUGACGUUCACGUUGAGGGAUUGCGUUGUGCGGCUUAACUCUGCCAACCGUGAACGUCACAGAUCCACAUUGCGGCACACACACACACACACGCACACACACACACACACACACACACACACACACACACUGAACAUACAAACACACUGAACAUACAUAUGAGGCCUGUCAUCUUGGCUGUUGUGGUGGUGCCGCUUAGCAUCCUGCUUGUUGGGAGCACUCAACACGCACCGUGUGUAACACACACCUUGCUUGCUGGCGCUGUCCACCACGUCCGCCUGCUGCGCGCCGCUCUGCAGCAGCAGCUCCACCCGCCUCAGUGCGCCGUCCACAGCCGCCAGGUGCAGGCACGUCAGAGUCAGAGCCAUGCCGCCGCCGCCGCCUGGGUGGGCAAGGUGGUGCGGGCGGCACGAGUGGGAGAGCGCCUUGCACGUAACCCUAGCUACUCCGUUUAUUUAUGUGGCCCCUGCUGCUGCUGCUGCUGCUGCUGCUGCUGCUGCUGCUGCUGCUGCUGCUGGUGCCCACCGGCCAUCCCUAUCUGGCGCACUCGUGUGCUCACUUGACCGCUUGCCCCCAAACGUAACGCCGCGUACGCUAGCUAGGCAGCUAGGGACCACAGCUGCGCCUUACUUCCUGUAGGAAAUGUUGCCUGGCGUGUUCUCCGGUGCCUUCGGCGCCUACCCGCCAGCCGUCCGCCAGCUAGCUAGCCCACCCAUCACAUCAUGGAUCAGUCUCGCUCUACGCAGUUUGCCAGCGCGCGGUGGCCCUCGUCAGCCCUCGGCGUUUACCAUCCGUUUCGAGGCAACAUGUCGACCCAUGCCGCCCCAGUCCCACCCCGCCUCUGUAAACUCAGUAACUUCAGAAUACCCGAACUCAAACCAACCCCCCCAUACACGUUCCACUUGCGCUACUGAGUACUGACGACUGGUUCCCUCCUGUGCUGCCUGCCGCUAGUUCCGACAGCCUCUUCUGGCAUCGUGCGCGUUCCAUUCCUAGAAGCGUUACCGAACAGUAAGCAGGCUUGUAAGCAGGUAGGCCGUCUGCACUUGAGCCAGAGGGGUGGUAUGGGGUACCGAUCCUACCGAUCCUCUGGUCACCCCAGGAUAGACCGACUUGCUACCCUAUGUGCCGCGACCUCCAAUCCCAAUCCCUGAGGUUCGGGUUCCAAUCCUCGCCGUUCCUAUCCCAAUCCCUGAAAGCCUGGUUCCAAUCCCCGCCCGACCAAACCCAAUCCCCAAAAGUGGUGUUCCAAUCCCUGGCCGGUCAAACCCAAUCCUCAAGUGCUGGGUCCAAUCCUACUCUGGCCAAUCCAAUCCACGGAGGGGUGACCGGCGGCGGGACCAAUCCUAUACCCCAUACCACCCCUCUGCUUGAGCUCACGUGGCACGCACUUAUCACAAGGCUGGCACGCACGUGCAAACGCAAUGUCGGUCUUGCACGCAUGAACAUGCGUGACGUAUCGUCGCGUUUGCGGCGGUACGGCAAGCCUCGAUGGCGGCGAGCAACGUGCCCCACGAAUGCUGCGCCCCGCACGGCCCGUUUAGGUCCUAGGCAGGGGACCCCUGGUCCUAGGCGUUGCGGCGGGCAACCUAUGCUCCUUGACACCUAGGAGCCAAUCACUGCGGUGCACGGCGUGCAGCGAAACCGUACAAACCGUCAAAACCCUGACCUGCCCUUAAACCCUGCCUGAAACCCUGAAUGGUGCACGGGCAAAGCCACGAAGCCCCGCCACGUCUAAGGCACGCUUGUUUGCCGAAUUCUGCGCUCAGUCCAGCUUCAAUUUUAACUGUAAGACAAAUCAACAGGUAAAAGUACGCAUGUAAACCAGUGACUCUUGAGUUCUGCUCGAGCGCUGAGAAGUGAGAACCUUCUUCGCAAUCGAUGGGUUAAAGGCGCGAUCGCCCCCUGGCCCGUGCCUACAUUAAAUGGGGUGCCCUCAAAUUGGAGAGUUACAAUACAGUGAUCAGAGCUUUCAGUCAAUUCCCGGUGACUACUGCUGGCGCUGCACCCUUCUACUUCUUGUUAAAGUAAGGCGCCGCGCGCGGCCGUGCAGCGGGUUCUCAGGCAGUCGACCGUUUAGAAGCAACGUUCAUGUUACCUGCUUGUGCGGGUUGUGUUAAGGAUGGGAGUGACUCGGGGUCUGCGAGCUCACGGCGCCUGCUGCACCUUGGUUGCCAGGGCAUGUCCAGCAGAACGUCAACGGCCUCGAGCAAUCAAAUCUGAGGCCUGGCUGACAACAGAUUACGACUGUUCGCGUAGGCCUCAAGCCCAAGACACUUCAACCUGCCAACCAGGAACGUGAGUUUGUUGGGUGUCCACAAGGAUCCUUGUAAAAAAGUGUGGCGGGCUAACGCACGUGCGUGUCAACUGCGCUUUCCAUUUGUUUACAGUCCUUAGACAGAUAUUGAAUCAGUUCUGCAUUGCGAACGUCGCGCAAACAACUGCACUGACAUAGUAGGUUCCGCUGGGCGCACUCGGCGUGCGUGACCACUACUGACCACUACGCUAACAGUCCCGUCCCCUCCGCUUUCCCUGUGCCUUUCCCCCAUCGUGUGCAGCAUGUUCGAUGUUUUCAGCGCUAUUGGGAAUGCAAUUGCAGACAUUACUCAGGAUGCGGUCAAAGCAGUUGGACACGUGACCGCAAGUGUGGGGGAUGCGACCGCAGCUAUUGGCCAUGCCACCGGCCUGAACCAGGCCAUGGGCCUGCUCUACACCAAGGGCCUGUCAGGUCAACGCCAGGAGCUGCUGAAGCUGCUGGUUGCUGCGGUGCGUGACCCCCGGGGAGCAGGGAACGUGAAGGGCAGGGGGGUUGUAGGGGGUUUUUGGACCCUGCCCGCCGGGGACCCUGCUGCUAGCACGUGCGCAUAACCGCUGAACCCUGGCCUAGCCUGCGGCACCGAUGCGGACCGCUGAGGCCACACGAAAACCCUGUCUUGCGCCGCAAGGUGCACUUGUUGCUUUACAUGUCCCUCGCGGCUUGUGUACGUUCGUUGUUCAACUUGUGCGUGCCUUAUGCUUGCUUCGCGCCACUCACAUUCAAUACCAUGCAGUCCGCCAACGUGUAUGAGCAUGCCAACGACCAGGGCUACAAGUACGAUGAGACGCGGUUCCUGGGCAACCGCCUUCGCCGCACGGACGAGGUAGUAAGCGCAAACUGCACAGCACACAAAGACACGUGCGUACGUGCGCCUUACAUGAUGACGUCGCACUGCUGUCCUCCUGUACGCCUCACCUCCCUGCUCACGUCCCACGAUCGGAGAUGGCAGGAACCCAAUACGGUAGUGCAGCAGCCCAUGCAUUUAUUUGAAAUUUCGCAUUUGUCACUUUGACCGGUCGCUUGCUUCAUCUAACUUUCUGCCCUCAUACCAC